CCAAUAGCGUAUAUUAAAGUUGUUGCAGUUAAAAAGCUCGUAGUUGAAUUUCGGGAUCAGUAGGUUGGUCGUGCCACUGGUAUGCACUGGCCUUACUGAUUCCUCCUUCUUGUAGAACCGUAAUGCCAUUAAGUUGGUGUUGCGGGGAAACAGGACUGUUACUUUGAAAAAAUUAGAGUGUUUAAAGCAGGCUAACGCUUGAAUACAUUAGCAUGGAAUAAUGAAAUAGGACGUUCGAUCCUAUUUUGUUGGUUUCUAGGAUUGACGUAAUGAUUAAUAGGGAUAGUUGGGGGAAUUAGUAUUCAAUUGUCAGAGGUGAAAUUCUUGGAUUUAUUGAAGACUAACUACUGCGAAAGCAUUUGCCAAGGAUGUUUUCAUUAAUCAAGAACGAAAGUUAGGGGAUCGAAGACGAUCAGAUACCGUCGUAGUCUUAACCAUAAACUAUGCCGACUAGGGAUCGGAUGAUGUUAAUUUUUUAAUGACUCAUUCGGCGCCUUACG
rnacentral:rRNA from 1 species